GAUCCUGGCUCAGGAUGAACGCUGGCGGCGUGCUUAACACAUGCAAGUCGAACGGGAAACCUAUUAUUGAAACUUCGGUCGAUUUAAUUUGUUUCUAGUGGCGGACGGGUGAGUAACGCGUGGGUAACCUGCCCUAUACAGGGGGAUAACAGCCAGAAAUGGUUGCUAAUACCGCAUAAGCGCACAGGACCGCAUGGUCCGGUGUGAAAAACUCCGGUGGUAUAGGAUGGACCCGCGUUGGAUUAGCUAGUCGGCAGGG
rnacentral:rRNA from 1 species